UCCAAACUCCUAUCAUCGGCAACGUAUCAAGAACAUCCAUCGCCUCACGCGUCCUUCUCCAAGAAACAGCUUCAAGAUCUCGCGCAAUCAUCAACGAAAAUCAGCAAGAACGAUUUAUCUCACCGUGGAAAAACCAAGAACGACGACAAAUUCGCAAGAUAUCUCGACGCUUAAAUGAAAUGGGAUCGAAAUCGAGCGUGCAAUGGAGAAAGAAGAAGGAAGCAACACCUAUCGGCUUCAAUCCUCUUCUUCGAUUAUGCGUUCGUUGCUUCCGUUGGGUUUCCGAAUCGUGUAUGUUGCGAAUCAUGAUGAAGAUUAUUGAAUGUCGUUCUUCUAUUUUGUUUCUCAACUCCCAAUUUUAUCUCAUGAGCUUCUCUUGACAAAUUCGUCUUCCCCUAAUUCAUUUUGUUUCUGCUUUGUUAGAAUCAUCUUUUGUUGAGAUCUUUUUAGAAAUCGAUUUGCAGGUGAUUCGCUUCUUGGUUGUGAACUGUGGUUGAGAACGAGGAGGAGAAUUUUUGUGUAAGAUGGUUAGCAGGGUUCGAACAAGGUUGCACGUUCUGUUUUUGCUAUGUAGUUAGAGGAUUGUUGAAGAUUCUACGAGGGAGUUUGAAGGGUGAUUACAGGUUUCAGGAUUUUGGUUAUGUGUGGUUAAGUGAAGGGUGAGGCGAAUGGUUGGAGGAGGGAGAUUUCCUUGAAGGGUUGUGUAUUGAGUUCUGUUGAAGGGUUGUUCAAUGGGUUUUCGUUGAGAGAAUUGGAAGAAUGGAGGGUGAAGAAGAAGCCGUUAUGGAGGCUGAGGUUUUUUUUGUUAAAAAAAAAGAUGAUGGAAGUUAUGGUUCCUAUUGUUAUAGUGAGGAAAAUUCAGUUAGGGGGUUUAAGAGGAUGAUUGAAGGAUGAAAUUUGGAUGGUGAAAACCUGUUAUGAGUUGUCGACAGUUGGAAUUUUCGGUUAAUCGGUUGAGGCAGUUAGCAGGGUAUUCAAGGAUUGGUUUUAUUAUGUGGAAAGCGAUUGGAGGCCCUUUUUCUUUCAAUGUCAGUUGGAAUUCCUGAGUUAGAGUGCGGAUUUUUUGUUAGAGUUAGUCGGAGUUGGAGGGCGUUUUUUUUGGGAAUUCUUACUCUUGGGUUGCAAGAAGAGUUUAUUACCGGUUCUGACGGUUGUUUUGGUGUAGGUUCAGGAAUUAUUAGCAGGUUCCCUUGAAGCGGUCGCAGGAUGGUUAGCCGGGAGAUCAGAGAUUGGAGCCGUUUUCUUCUGCGUGAGGGUUGUUCCGGGUUUAUUGUGAGAAUUCUUGAAUGGUUCUGUGAAUAAGCCUCAAUCCGGUUCCGGGUUGGUUUUUGGAAGGUGGUUCUGUGAAAAGGGAAGUGGAAGUUCUGUUGGAAUUCUUGGAGAGUUGUAAUUCUGCUAAAAAAAACGGUUGAAGGUUUUCGGGUGCCAGCCUUUUGUGGAGAGGUUUUAGAGAAUUUAAAAAUUAGUGAGGUUGCUGGCUUAGGAAGUGAGGUUACAGGGUUAGAAAACAGGUUUUAUCUCAGACCAAAUUGGUGGAUCUUGGGGGCAGGGUGAUCCAAAAUCCCUUCUGGUUCAGUUUCUAUAUCACCAUCUAGUGGAGCAAUAUGAUGGAACUCCAUACCCGGUGGAAUUACCGACAUGCGAGACAUGUAUCUACCAUAACAACUCACAUUACGCCUGAGCAAGCAUGCUCGUAUUUUACGUUCCAAUACUGGAUCUAAACCAUUAUAGAAGCGCCACUGUUCUUCAAUUUCCUUUUAAUUCCAACCAAUUGGAAUAUGUAUUAUUCAUUAGGAUGUAAUAAGUUGUAAUAGUAUUUAGCUUAUGUAAAGUGAUUCACACAAUGCCAAAUUUCAUGUAAUGCAGUGCAAUGCAUAUGGAAAGGUUUAUAUGAUCAUGAUUUAAUGCAAUAUCAAUUGUUAUGAA